rnacentral:rRNA from 1 species
GAUGAACGCUGGCGGCGUGCCUAAUACAUGCAAGUCGAGCGAAUGGAUUAAGAGCUUGCUCUUAUGAAGUUAGCGGCGGACGGGUGAGUAACACGUGGGUAACCUGCCCAUAAGACUGGGAUAACUCCGGGAAACCGGGGCUAAUACCGGAUAACAUUUUGAACCGCAUGGUUCGAAAUUGAAAGGCGGCUUCGGCUGUCACUUAUGGAUGGACCCGCGUCGCAUUAGCUAGUUGGUGGGGUAACGGCUCACCAAGGCAACGAUGCGUAGCCGACCUGGGAGGGUGAUCGGGCACACUGGGACUGAGACACGGCCCAGACUCCUACGGGAGGCAGCAGUAGGGAAUCUUCCGCAAUUGACGAAAGUCUGACGGAGCAACGCCGCGUGAGUGACGAAGGCUUUCGGGUCGUAAAACUCUGUUGUUAGGGAAGAACAAGUGCUAGUUGAAUAAGCUGACACCUUGACGGUACCUAACCAGAAAGCCACGGCUAACUACGUGCCAGCAGCCGCGGUAA